CACAGGUCGGAAGUCUACAAAAGCUCAAUACAUUGGAGGUGCAAAGAGGCAUUUUAUCAGUUGCUUGUACAUUUUUAUUUAGAUACUAUUUUGGAAGUACAUAGUGCCACAGAUGAUCAAUUAUAUUGAUCAGAUACUCAAGAUGCUGCUCAAACAAUGAAAAGAAAUGUCUUCAAAAUUGGAAGGCAGUCGGGAGGAGGCAAUAUCAGGUGGGACCAUUCUAGCCAAUGAGAGGGCAGAUACGAGUGUGAAGACCAGGCACAAUUCCAAUAUAAGAUGUUUUUUCUCAAAGUUGCAGGGAUGUCACGUGUCCUACUUAUAUCAGUACACUCGUAACAGCUUAAGCAUUACGACACUUAUAUUCGAUCAAAUAAGCCACACUAGCAAAUAAGCCAUUACAUUUUUUGUUAACUAAAUUCGACACACUCUCAUUGACGUCCAUACAAACAAUGUAUGCUUUGUCUGAAAAUGUGGUCAGAGGCUCCGUAUGACGGGUGUGACGCAAUCGCAGACUCCAGAAGUAUGCAGAGGCCAAAUUGAGCUCCAACUGCAUCGCGGUCCGACUCCCAAAUGUUGUAACAAUGCGGAGGGUUCCGUAUAGCUCCGUAAUGACAUGAUUGGUUGAUCGUAGGUGGGGCAGGAGAUCCUGUAUAAACACAAACUCACUUCCUUGACAACAGCUCUGCGCAGCACCGCGAAGCGCAAGAAGUAUGAAUGCAUUGAUUUCUGCAGAGGCCGCAUCACUGCACGGCAACAGAUUGACCAUUGGCCAGGAGAAUUCAGUCAGCAGCAGCCUCAGCAGUGAGACCAAUGAAGGUGAACCAUCUCUCCACCAAGAAGACCUGGAGCUGUCCAAGGCAGGAAGGGAGUAGCUGAGGAAGUAAGAGAAACCACAACGUAAGAGAAUGCUCUGGUUGCUGAUUGCUAAUGGACAAGGAGUGCAGGAUGUCCAUACACAGUGCCUUCAGAAAGUAUUCACACCACUUGUAUUUUUCUUCAUUUUGUUGUGUUACAG
rnacentral:lncRNA from 1 species